rnacentral:SRP_RNA from 2 species
GCCAGGUAUGGUGGUGCAUGCCUGUAAUCCCAGCUACUUGGGAGGCUGAGGCAGGAGAAUCACUUGAACCUGGGAGGCACAGGUUGCAGUGAGCCGAGAUCGUGCCACUGCACUCCAUCCUGGGUGACAGAGUGAGACCCUGUCUCAG